rnacentral:rRNA from 1 species
CCUACGGGGCGCAGCAGUGGGGAAUAUUGGACAAUGGGCGAAAGCCUGAUCCAGCCAUGCCGCGUGUGUGAAGAAGGCCUGCGGGUUGUAAAGCACUUUCAGUGGGGAAGAAAGCCUUGGGGCUAAUACCCUCGAGGAAGGACAUCACCCACAGAAGAAGCACCGGCUAACUCCGUGCCAGCAGCCGCGGUAAUACGGAGGGUGCGAGCGUUAAUCGGAAUUACUGGGCGUAAAGCGCGCGUAGGCGGUCUGAUAAGCCGGUUGUGAAAGCCCCGGGCUCAACCUGGGAACGGCAUCCGGAACUGUCAGGCUAGAGUGCAGGAGAGGAAGGUAGAAUUCCCGGUGUAGCGGUGAAAUGCGUAGAGAUCGGGAGGAAUACCAGUGGCGAAGGCGGCCUUCUGGACUGACACUGACGCUGAGGUGCGAAAGCGUGGGUAGCAAACAGGAUUAGAUACCCUGGUAGUC